GCUUAAUAUAACUGGUUAUUUAAUUAAAUUAAAGAAUAAAAACUUUUUAGCAUAAAUUAUUUUAUUGGGGCGAUAAAGGUAAAAUGUUUAAUAACUGCUUAAUAAACAAAACACGUUAGUUGAAAUAAUUUCUUUAAGGAUCCCUGUUAUGGAUUAUAAGUUUAAGUU
rnacentral:rRNA from 1 species